UCUUCUAGCCUUUGUGCUUGAUCCAUCUUCUUUCCUUUUUUUGUGUGGCAUAACUUUAGGAGAAUGACUUACAUAUCAUUUCUAUAGAAUGCAUUAACACAAAUAUUAUUAUUGACCGAACUCAGAUAGUUGUGACUUCUACAUAAGUCUAAUUAUGAUUGCUUAACAUAAUGCUAAAUUUGUUCCGAAAGUAAGUCAUUUCAUAAGUGAGAUUGUAAGUCUCCC
rnacentral:lncRNA from 1 species